CAAAAACACUCACAACAUGACAGUACACCAAUAUUUCGGUCUAGCUAAAUUUUCAGUUUCGCCCUGCUUUUCGGGUCAAUAAUGCCAAUGUGACUAUAAUGGGGAACACUCCGAGCUCCAGUCAAGUGGGUCGGAGGCCAUCGCAUGCUCGCAGCGAGGAGGAAAUUUUUCAUGGAAGCCACCGGAACCCAGACAGGAAUCGCAGUCGGCACUGUUUCGUGAUUCGCUCUCAAAGGCCUCCAAGGGGAGUGGGUGUCCUCGAUGAGGAAACCCGGUGCUAUUGUCCACAAACUACGACGACGGCGACGACCACAUCUAGCCCUCCGGCUGCUAGUACAGACCUUAAGCCCCGUCAACGAUGCUGCUGUGGCUCACCACCAGGAACUACAAGGCAGAGAGCUUGCUGCAGUUCCGGAAAUAAGACCCAGCGAUGUUUCAAUUGCCCCGGAAACGAAAGUGGCGGACAGGGACAGCGGAGGGUAAAAGCCUGUCACCCGGAUGCAUACCCCGUACCUGAGCUUCUAAGAACAAAGCAAAUGUGUCUUCACCCGUUGGGCGCAAGAUGCGAUUGCGAAGACCGCAAAGUGCAUUAUGCCAGGACAGCAGCACCAACUCCGGGAGAGCCACUCCCUAUUCCGCCAGAGCGACAAGUUGAGGUCCCUUACAGCGACUCGGGGAGAUCCUUCGAACCUGCUGUUCAAGCAAUAAAUGAAACCUGUGAGGAUGUGCACGAUGUAUACUAUCCGCGCCGUCCUAGAAGUACGCGAAUACCAGAAGUAGAUCCGCUGGCCAACUUUGACAUUAACCGAUUUGAUAGAGAGGCAACCAAUCAAGGUCCUGGAGGUAGGAGACGAAACGUUUCCAUUCGCACAUGUGUAGACUACGAUUACGAACCGGAAUAUCCACCUCGCGACAGGACUUAUCGAGCUUCCAAGGCUCCUCCCCAACAUCAUCCCGGAUAUCCACCUACUCAAAGUUCUCCCGGAUAUCUUCCCCCCGUAUAUCCACCCCCUCCCUCGACAUAUCCACCUCCUCCGUCAGCAUAUCCACCACCUCCACUCUCCACAUAUCCACCUCCUCCCCCCUCAUAUGUAUCACCACCCGCCGCAUAUCACCCCCCUUCCGCAGAAUAUGCACCUAGAAGCCAGCCACCACAUCAAUCUUCGCAACGACCUUAUCAGCAUAGAACCCAUCCGGGAUCUUAUGAUGAUGGAGAAAUCGAGUAUGUGAAGUGUCCAUACAAAUGAUAAAAUAGGGAUUUAUUGCUAAGGAAAUAGACUAAACUGUGAGUAGCAAAUGAACUACAAAUCUUACAAUCGGAAUGCAGCCCUAAGCGUUUGAGAAGCACUGGUAUUGCUUAGCACAAUAGUUCAGUGUUGCAAAGCGCUUGUAUUAGUGGGAAAGAAGAAGAGUCAGCGACGCGUGCAAAA